GUUGAUAUCAAGGAGUGGGACAAGCAAUGUUGAUAUUGAGCCAAGACUGACUAAUUAUUCCUGUUUUUACAUAAACUGAUGCCCUUGUGGCAGACAACUGACUUCAGAGAUGGAAUGCAUGGAGAGUGGUACAAAAACUUCAAACAUGGAAGAUGGAGAUGAAUAUAUGUCAUUCAACACACCCUGUGACUUUGCUGACAAUGAAGAUAAGUAUGAAGAACUGGAAGUGCACCUGACAGAGGUGGCACUUAGACUACAGCUUAUGAAAGACCGUGUGGAGAUGGAGGAGCGAACAGUGCAGCUUCGGCAGGAGCUGGCACUGACCCACCUCGCGA